UAUAGUCUAAACAAAUUCAAAUAAAAAAGUUUAAAUAUAUAAAAGGUGUUUAUGGGGACGAAAAAUACCGAGAUACAGUAGACCACUUCCCAGUUGUCCUCUUUUAGCGGGUAACCACUGUGCAGGGGCAGAAAACAAGACGCGUCAGGGCAGACUGCACAACUUAAACUGCAAGUACAUGAAAGCGAAGGGAACGAGAGAGAGGGAGGAGGAGGAAAGAACGGGCCAGAGGGAGAUGGCGAUAGCGAGGGCGAGCGAGAAAGCGAAAGGGGAUCAGAUGAUGCACGUGUGUGUUACUGCGAGAGAGCUGCUUACUGGCUUGCACUUACACUCUCUCCUCGCUUUAUUGCAUAACAUCCUUGAACUUGAGCUGGGCUUGCCAGAGUUCCUUUUUUACUUUUUUUUUCUGGCAGUAGGACGCUCGGUUCCUUUCGCCACAUAGCCAUAGCUGCCUUCUGGACCCCCCAUUUUUCCCUUGCCCCUACACACUGGCUCGUUUCUUCUCUCCUCUCUUCGCAUCGGAAGCUUUCGGGCUUUUAAGCAAACGACGACGACGGCUCUGCCAUUUUCUGCUGGGCUGCGCGUUGGCAUUGAAAGUGCGGCAGGCAAGCUGCCAACAACGCUCCAUUCCCAGCAAAUCUCCAAUCGGAACCAGAAGAAUUCUAAACACAACGAAUAGUACUUUAAUACCACAAAAAGCCAACAAACAAUUCCCCUUUAAUUUGUUACAAAUUAGACACGCAAAUGACAUCAACAGCUAAAUUGAAUUUGUCAGAACCAACCCAAUCACAAUACAAAAGCAAACAACAAUGCAAAAUAAUUGCAAAUUAAUUGUGUUCAAUUCUACUAGAAGUGCUUGUCAAAUUAAAAAAAAAAUACUUAAGCUAAAAUAAAUAUAAAUUAUACCUUGCCCAAAAUAAUUAAAUCAUUUAACCUGCAUUCUAUAGUGCGCUCCGGAAUCACGGAAAUAAAGAACGGAAGAAAGGAAAGAGAGAGAGAGAGAGAGAGAAAUGGAUUUCAAAAUGCAAGCGCAUUUCACAACUAUUUUAAAUACGUGCCCCAAACCAAAGAACAUAAAUUCAACUAAGAUUUUAAAAGGGUGGUGAGCUGCGUCAGCAUGGAAAUUUAAUUAGCGACAGUUCAGUUCAGCUGAGCAGCGCUAAGUCGAAAGGAUUUGACUGACCCGCCCUCUAAAUCCACCCACCCACCACCGGCCGAAAAGGGGGUGGGAGAUUUCGUUGAUUUUUGCAUGACGACAGCAAAAAGCGAAAAGGCGGAACAACAAUCGAAAUGCAACUGAACGUGUGUGUGUUGGUGUGCGAGCGAGGCGGCCUAUAUAAAGCAGACAUGCGCUCUCACUCAGAGACUUGAACUUGAAAACUCUUAACUGCCGGCAAAAAUCGAGAGAAUCAGAAAGAGAGACACAGCAGGUAUGUGUUUUGUAUGAGGAGCUGUUUGCCAUUGAUUAAGUUAAACAAAAACAAAAUCAGAGCAGAGUACUAGCUUCGCUCUCAUAGCGUUUGCUCUUUUGCGAGAGUGUGAGUGUGUGAGAGAGGAGCUUUUGCGUGGGCGGCUUAAGGCAGCACAGUCGACGUCGCUGCCAGCGUCGGCCAACUGUUUGCUGUUUUGUUGUAGUGUAGUCACAUACUGUUGCAUACCUAAGGGGAUAGGAGGAUAUGGGAGAAAAUCGGACGAUAAGCGGGGUGAAAGGCGGGAAAAUCGGGAAGUGGAGGAGGGAAAGUGACCUCCACCUGUGCGAGCCCAGCUGCAGCUUCCCUGUUGGCCAAGUUUAUUCGGUGACGAGCGGGCGGCCGAUGAGGUCAGCAUCACGCAUACGCCUAGUUAUCCCCUGUAUCCCGUAUCCAAUGUUCAGUGUCGGUAUCGGUGUGUGCAAGUGCUUGUUGGUGUGUGUUUUGUUUUUCCCAAGUUCAUUUUAAAGGCGCGUCGCCCUUAAUAGCAAAAUCAGGUGUGGAGAAUUGAUUAGCACAGCCCAAAAUAGGAGAAAAAUUCAAACAAUAUGGUUGGUGUUUUGUGUAUGUACGUACUUACAUAGAACUCAAGUGACGCACACCAGCAUAUGGCAAUUAAAUUUGAAUAAUUAAGCAGCUGAGAACAACACGAACCGAACUCUCCGAACAUAUGUAUGUAUAAUACCAACACACACUUUGGGCAUGUGCAACACUCGUUCUUGUUGUCUUGCACCUUGACCUUUCCACACCCAUGCAGCAAUACGCGUGGGCAGCACUCGGAUACACACGCCCAUUUUGAGGGGAUCGGGAAUAUGGAUAUACAUAUAUACUCGUUUAUGUGGAACAACCCACAAGUUGGCUGGCAGCUGUUGGAGCCGAACCCAAGGAGACGAGAUGCAAGCCAAAAGCACUUCGGUUAUAUCCCAGAAAAGGUCCAGUUUGGCCAACGGAAAGUUUUGGACACAGGUCACAGAUGGCAAAAGUGCAAUAAAUUAAAUAUCAAGAAAAGACAAAAAAAUAGUGUGCAGUUAAAAUAGUACAAGAGUUUUUGAAGGGUUUAGAUAAAGUUAUUAAAUAAAAUAACUUGUGAAAAUAGGUUUGUUGAACUAAAAUAAAUCAGAAAACAAUUUAUAAGGGCUAGAAACAAAGUUUAAAUGAAUUGUUUAUUAUAUAUGCUCUACAAUUUAUGGUGAGUCUAUGAGAAGGGCCGUAUUUAUACAUAUCUUGUAUC